rnacentral:rRNA from 1 species
CCUAGGGUUGCAGCAGUGGGGAAUAUUGCACAAUGGGCGCAAGCCUGAUGCAGCCAUGCCGCGUGUAUGAAGAAGGCCUUCGGGUUGUAAAGUACUUUCAGCGGGGAGGAAGGGAGUAAAGUUAAUACCUUUGCUCAUUGACGUUACCCGCAGAAGAAGCACCGGCUAACUCCGUGCCAGCAGCCGCGGUAAUACGGGGGGUGCAAGCGUUAAUCGGAAUUACUGGGCGUAAAGCGCACGCAGGCGGUUUGUUAAGUCAGAUGUGAAAUCCCCGGGCUCAACCUGGGAACUGCAUCUGAUACUGGCAAGCUUGAGUCUCGUAGAGGGGGGUAGAAUUCCAGGUGUAGCGGUGAAAUGCGUAGAGAUCUGGAGGAAUACCGGUGGCGAAGGCGGCCCCCUGGACGAAGACUGACGCUCAGGUGCGAAAGCGUGGGGAGCAAACAGGAUUAGAUACCCCAGUAGUC